UACGAAGGGGGCUAGCGUUUUUCGGAUUUACUGGGCGUAAAGCGCGUGUAGGCGGGCCGUUAAGAUGGGGGUGAAAUCCCGGAGCUCAACUCCGGAACUGCCUUCAUGACUGGCGGCCUGGACCCAAAUAGAGGCAAGUGGAAUUGCGAGUGUAGAGGUGAAAUUCGUAGAUAUUCGCAGGAACACCAGUGGCGAAGGCGACUUGCUGGAUUUGUGGUGACGCUGAGACGCGAAAGCGUGGGGAGCAAACAGG
rnacentral:rRNA from 1 species